CAAAAGCGUAUAUUAAAGUUGUUGCAGUUAAAAAGCUCGUAGUUGAACCUUGGGCUUGGCUGGCCGGUCCAUCUUUUUUGAUGCGUACUGGACCCAGCCGAGCCUUUCCUUCUGGCUAGCCUUUUGGCGAACCAGGACUUUUACUUUGAAAAAAUUAGAGUGUUCAAAGCAGGCCUUUGCUCGAAUAUAUUAGCAUGGAAUAAUAGAAUAGGACGUUAUGGUUCUAUUUUGUUGGUUUCUAGGACCAUCGUAAUGAUUAAUAGGGACGGUCGGGGGUAUCAGUACUCAGUUGUCAGAGGUGAAAUUCUUGGAUUUACUGAAGACUAACUACUGCGAAAGCAUUUACCAAGGACGUUUUCAUUAA
rnacentral:rRNA from 1 species